AGUUUUGCGCAGAGGCUGUGUCGUAGCCAAUGAGGUUCUACCGAGGCGUGACUAUUGCUAGUUGAUAUAAAAUCAAAAUAAAAGCUACCAGUAAAACAAAAAUCGUAACAGCGAAAUCGAACCUUUUACAAAAAA